GCGGCUCCUCACGGGGAGCGGAGGGGAAGCGCUGAGCUCUGCUCUCUGUGGCUGCGACAGGGCCCGAGGGAGCGGCGUGGUGAUUUAAAAGCAGGCACGGUGCUCCUCGCUUGUGUCUGCGCCCGCCGAGAGCCAUGCUGUUGUCAGGUCGUGCCAGCGUUGGAGUAUUCGCUGGAGCAGGCACAACAUCCCGUUCCUCUGGGUGCAGGCAGAACAGCGGGCAGCUCCUUUGCUCGGAGACAUAGCUAUGUUCUCCCUGCUUUGCUGCUGUGCAUUAAGGAGUGAGUCCAGCAUCCACUGAAGGCAGUGGGAAGACAUGGAUGCCUUUCAAUAGGAGUUAGAUUAGUUUUCAGGUAAAUACACAACUCAGUAAGGCAAACUUUAACUGCUUUUCAUGUUAGUAAAGCAAAUGUUACCAGCAGAGAGAUUUGAACUCUGUUGUAAAGCGACACCUUCAGAAGCUCUCCUGUUUACUGUUGCUUUUCUCAGGCCAUCCUUGCUGAUGUGGGAGAGCAGUGUGUCUGACCCAGCUGAGCCAGUGCCUGGUGAAGAGAGCAAUGGUCCUGUACUGCAACUGAAUUUCCUUGGCUUGGAAGGCAGAAAGGAAGAAUGCUUCAUCAGGAGCUGGAGAUGUUCCUGUGGCCUGUUGUUGCCUUAAUGUCUGAAGCUUUCACAUCUCUGCCUGCACAGGCCGUGAUUUGCUGAUGAACCCACUGGUGAGCAGUGCAUCUUGAAAAGAUGAAAACAUCAAAGCACUUAAAUCAUGAAGUUUUGUUUGAACGCCGUCUUCAAGGGAUAUUCAGCUAUAGAAAAUGAAUCAGAAGAAAGAACUUCAGAAGAGCUGGCAAGGAUAGACGAGAAAAAUGAAGUGAACUUUAAGAAUAUUACCUGACACACCAACUGAGGAAAUGCUGAAGAACUCUGCUUUAAGUAAUCACUCACAUGGGUGCCUGUUUACCAGUCCAGUCCACCAGUGAGCAACUUCGGCCAUUUACUCCUCUUGGACCAGUGCAUCCAGCACCUGCAGCACAUCAUUUGCUGGCAGAAGAACAGAGGCAAUGAAGGUGUGACAAAACUAAGACUGAGAUGGAGAAAGACAAAACCAGAGUUUGGGAGCUCCUUAGUUCCUGCCACCCAGCAGCAGAAACUAGAAAAACACCACUUCAACUAACUUGUAAUUGGAUACAAGGUACUAAUUACAUAAAGCAUGCGCGUUGAUGGCACGACAUCAGUGCACUGAAAGACAGUUUCUCCUAGACAACGUGCCUCCUGCACGUCAAACUGAUGACUGUCUUUUGGUCAAGAACGUGUUCAAGUGGCAGUCUGACCAGUUUCAGCAUGUUACUGGCAGGAGGCACUGCUCGAAUGGGUUCCUGUGUCCGACUCACACUGUGAUGUUGGAGCCCUGAUCUGCACGUACUGCACUGCCACAGUGCCUGUCUCCGUUCUUGAUGUCAGAACUGUCCUGGUCUGCAACUGUGUCUAUUUUCUGAAGUAAAUGACUUUCACCUCUGG